ensembl:lncRNA
UGCACAGACCCAGUACCGGCCACUCCCCAUCAUGGUGGAUGGUCAGCCGGCCCAGGAGGGGAACUUCUAACCAGUUAACUCACUGUAGGCGAGGAUUCAAAAAGGCAGAGGGUGUUGCCUGAGGCUUUUGAUAAAGCCGGUUCCAAUGGGGAUCUCUAAUGACCCAGGUUGGGGCCUAGUCAUGCUCUUGUGGGGCUUGAUCUGGGGGUGGCAGGUGGACCUUGGGUGGUCUUUGGAUGUUCCCCAUGGUGGGCAUCACCUUCACUGCCACUUUCGCUGCCGUGAGGUUGGGUAUGGGGUGGAGGGAUACCUCUGCAUACCUGGAGGGCUCCACGCUCUGGGAGUCGAUUAGAAACGUGAUUGGAGAUUUCAGACACAGGUCAAGGGCAUUCUUCAUGUUGGGGCUGGAGGUGCUGGAGGUGUUUGGUGUGAGGCUGUGUCAAAUGACCUUAUUUUUUUGGCUUCAUGAUGUAGGCCUGGCACUAUACCCGGAUCUGUUCCUUGCCCUCCCGCCGUGCCUCCCGGGGCUCAGAGUUCCAGCAUCUAAUGCUGGGGUACCUGUGUCCCUGGCCGAUGAGGAGGGUGGGAAAGCGCACAGCCGUCUAACUAGCUACAUUCCCGCUGCCUGCAGAACAAGCCCAGGGGUGAAGCUGUCCUGCCUUUCUCACUGACAACUUGGAGUCUUUCCCAGAGGGCCAGACUCCUCCCUCAGCCAGCCGCCCUCUUGUCUGACACUUCAGGACUUCACUUUUCAGGUUGCCUGGGCUUUCUCCCACUGCCGCUGAAAGGUCUUUUUAGUGCUUGUGAGCUGAGCCGGAGUGGGUCAUAAACCUGCUCGGCCCCUUGUCAUUUGGGGAAUUCCCUGAGUUCCUUGUGACUGUGGUAUCUCAAGUGUGGACUGGGAGCACCUGACUGUGACUCGGUAGCUGUGUUCUCCUGGAUACUUUCAUGUUUUAACCUUUAAGAAUCCUGAUGUGAGUGUUCUCAUGUAGUCCUCACCUGCCUUGAGGGUAAGAUGCCUCAGUUCACAGAGUCCAUCCCAGUGUUAACAUAGGAUACGUUCUCUGUCUUCACUUUUGGGAGAAGAUCUGCAGUGUACUUUGUAUGUUCUCAGAACUAUUUAGACAGAGAAGAAAGCCACAUGCCGUCAGUUUGCCUGAUACUGUGAAUGGGAACCACAUGGAGUGCUGUGUUGUUUAUAGCUCAAC